AAGGUAGAACAAAAUAAGGGGAAAAAAGAAAAAUAAAAUACGUACAAGCAUAACGAAAAUAGUUGUUUAAAAUGGCAAAAUCAACUAAUGUUAUGGGGUGUAUGGUCAUUAUCUUGUUUGUUCUUUUUUCUCCAUUAACUUUAGCAACACCAGAAACAAUACCACCAAUAAAAUUAGAGUUGUCUGGUGCAAGUCGUAGCACUCGUAUAUCUGUUGCAAGUUGCGGAUUUGGACUUUGCAAGAAAUUUAAAUGUUGCACUUGCUCAGGACAGUUCCCAUUUCUAUGCAUCUCAUGUUGUACAAGUUGAGAGUGAAAAUAAUAAUAUGUAAUUCACCAUGUUAUUGUUGGCAUAUCAAUAAAAUUAUAUGAUUUCGAGCUUUAUAUUUAAUAAAAAUUACUAAUA